CGAAAGUUAGUAAUAAUAAAGAAAGCUUUCGGACUUCUCUUCUUCCUCACUUUCCUCACUCUUACCUUAUAAAUAAAGCCAUGAAGAAGAUCCCAUGCCCCCUUGUGUUACGCUCAACCUGGUCUAUUGUCUGAAUAACAGAGCUCUCUCCCACUCUCUUGUCUUACAUAAAAAAGAAGUGUAUUUGUUCUGCUCUAUCUAUGGCAUAUAUCCCACCACACAUGCGGAAAAGCAAAGGGGUUCAGUCUCCGACAGCUGUGAUGCUAGUUCCUAGAUUCCAGAAGAAUCUUAAUCUCGGAUCAAAACCCAGCAUGGACAAGAGCGGCAAGAUUGUUUGUGCAGACACUGCGAUAUGGAGAUGGUUUGCUGUUGGCUUGGAUGGCAAUGAAACAGAGGGCCCACCUCCCGUUCUUCUUCAGCGAGUACCCGUGGAGGUGAUUGAACGGAUAAAUGGAGAGAAGCCUCUGGCGCUAGUUAGAAGUAGCCGUCUCAGUGAGGGGCAGAGGACUCUGGAUAGUUCAGACAAGCCAUGGACUUACCUUAUUGAAAAGAUCCUGCCGGACUUAAUUUCUUCUUCUAAAUUCAUGAGGGGCCAAAUGGAAGCAGAAGGCUGGAACUCGAAGGAAGUAAAGCCAAAACUUGUCGCGAGAGUUGGAAAAAUCCUUUUUAUCCCGAGGAGGCCUUCCAUUUUGGAGGAAGAUCUGAAUAAAGAUUCAAUCAAUGAAGCCACCUUGAAGCAGUUGAAGAGAACCUUCUACACCAAUAUCCCUGCUUCGUAUAUGAAGGGCAUUGUGGACGAAGUUGUUCCGAAGAUUGGAGUCAAAUUCGAAGAUCUAAAGGAUGUAUACCAUGUAAAGUUGUCCGACAAAUCUCGACCUGAAGCAACUAUCUCAUGCAAAUGCAGAGUCAUGAAAGAAGAGAAUCGGCUUGAACUCUAUAAGGUUGAGUUAAACCAAAUCCGCCACAUGGUGCAUGAUAUCUCGUGCAUUGAGAAAAAUCUCGACCUACGGCUCAUGCUCUCCACCAAGCGAACUCUAACAUCUCUUCGUGAUGAUGAGGAGAAGAGCAUCAAGGUUUUGAUUGCUUCGGCGAUAUUAGACCCGACUUCAAAGGGAGGUCUGAGAUGGCCAUUUGGUGAGGCCUCAUCCCCUGGGGAUAGAUACAGAGUCAUUGGCGUGUGGCAUACGGUUUCACGAGUUUAUGUGAGCCCUUCGAUGAGACUUAAGGUCCGAGAUGCAGAUCGGUUUGAUUUCAAGACAUCUGUCGGGGAGACCACGAGGGAGAUCACACUCAAGUUGAAGGGAAUCGUUUCAGAGUUACUGGGAAAGAAGCUCGAGAUCAAUUUGGUAGCUGAUAUGCUUGAGAACGUAUUGAAGCUGCUGUGGGAGCAUUUCUUGCAUUUCCAAGCAGUUCACAAUGGGAAUACUGCUGCUAUGGAUGUUCCCAUCUUCUCGUGAUUGCUCUCUGCUCUCGGCGUGUUAUGUUUCACAAGUACCUAAAGCUUUGCGAAAAGCCCAACUCUGAAUACUUGGGGAUACCGUAAUUUCCGGGGUCAUUUUUAAAGUUGUCCUGAACUGCAGGGGGCAAUCCGAAGUUGACCCUCAAAUAGGGCAUACAAAAGAUUGGACGAGGCUCCUGUUGCAUGGCUAGUCAGUCAGUGUAUUGACAAGGAAGCUACCACAUAGAGGAGGAACAUUUAGGCAAUUUCCACGGCUAACUCGAGCCCGACCACUGCGUGUGUGCUCUUGUCGAAAAAUAAUGGCGUUGGUCCUUUUAUUUUCUCUUUCAAUGGGAGAGGCUUGUGGGACUUAAUUGAGAAACUUUAAAGUUCGGGGACGCAAGUUAAAACGCACAGAUUGAUGGAUAGCAAAAAAGCUUGAAGUGCAUCUGUUACUCAGCAAUGGUUGGAAGUUCCGCAGAGAAAUUCAUGGUAAAACAAGUUUAACUGCAGUAUAGGAUAAGCGUCAUCCAAAACAUUUGCUCCCUUAUCUUAUUGUAAAGAUGGAUUCGUCUGAUUGGUGUGUGGAUUUUAAAUCCUUUUGAUCUUUGAUCUUUUCCCUUUGAUUUGUCUGUGGAAGAUGGUCACAUGAAUGAGGCUACUUCUGAGAAGCCGUGGGUGAGGAUUGCCAAGGCAGUUAUGCAGGACCUGCUCCCUUCUGCCGUCUUGGUGAGGACUGAAAUAGAGGAGAAUGUCCAACACCACGAUGAAAUAAAGUUGAAAUUCGUCGUGAGGGUUGGAAAAGUGCUUUUUCUCCCGUGAGCCGAUCAUGUCGUUACAUGCAAUGCAUUUGAAAGCACGUUUCGUGUUCCACUAUUUGGUUGACUUACCAGAACAUUAGUCGACACAAGUUUAUGAUACAAGUUGAAACAUUCAGGAGGAGAAACCCCCCAAGUAAAGACUCUGUCAGUGAAGCCUCUUCAAGUCAGUAUAAUAUAAACUUCCACACCGAUGUUCUGGCAUCGUAUGUGAAAAGUGUCACAGACAAUGUCGCCCUGAAAAUCGGAGUCAAAUCAGAAGAUAUAAAGGAUAUUUACCUCGCUAAGUUGGCUGAUAAAUCUCGAUCGGAUGUAACGGUCAUUUGCAAAUGCAGAGUUGUGAAGGAAGAAAAGCGACAUGAACUUUACCAGGCAACUUACUGUUCAUUCAAAUGGCUUUUGUUUUCGUUUUCAUUUUUCAUGAGAAAUGCAAGAAAAGUUCGUAAGUGUGGACUUGCAGUUCGGAGAUUUGUCUUCA